rnacentral:rRNA from 1 species
GAUGAACGCUGGCGGCGUGCCUAAUACAUGCAAGUCGAGCGAACGGACGAGAAGCUUGCUUCUCUGAUGUUAGCGGCGGACGGGUGAGUAACACGUGGAUAACCUACCUAUAAGACUGGGAUAACUUCGGGAAACCGGAGCUAAUACCGGAUAAUAUUUUGAACCUCAUGGUUCAAAAGUGAAAGACGGUCUUGCUGUCACUUAUAGAUGGAUCCGCGCUGCAUUAGCUAGUUGGUAAGGUAACGGCUUACCAAGGCAACGAUGCAUAGCCGACCUGAGAGGGUGAUCGGCCACACUGGAACUGAGACACGGUCCAGACUCCUACGGGAGGCAGCAGUAGGGAAUCUUCCGCAAUGGGCGAAAGCCUGACGGAGCAACGCCGCGUGAGUGAUGAAGGUCUUCGGAUCGUAAAACCCUGUUAUUAGGGAAGAACAUAUGUGUAAGUAACUGUGCACAUCUUGACGGUACCUAAUCAGAAAGCCACGGCUAACUACGUG